rnacentral:rRNA from 1 species
AAGGCCUUCGGGUUGUAAACCGCUUUUGGUCGGAAAGAAAGGCGCUCUCUAAUACGGGGCGCUCUUGACGGUACCGGCAGAAUAAGCACCGGCUAACUACGUGC